UGGGGAAUUUUGGACAAUGGGCGAAAGCCUGAUCCAGCCAUGCCGCGUGAGUGAAGAAGGCCUUCGGGUUGUAAAGCUCUUUUAGUCGGAAAGAAAGAGUUGCAAUGAAUAAUUGUGAUUUAUGACGGUACCGACAGAAAAAGCACCGGCUAACUACGUGCCAGCAGCCGCGGUAAUACGUAGGGUGCGAGCGUUAAUCGGAAUUACUGGGCGUAAAGGGUGCGCAGGCGGUCUUGCAAGUCAGAUGUGAAAGCCCCGGGCUUAACCUGGGAAUUGCGUUUGGAACUACAAGGCUAGAGUGCAGCAGAGGGGAGUGGAAUUCCAUGUGUAGCAGUGAAAUGCGUAGAGAUGUGGAAGAACACCGAUGGCGAAGGCAGCUCCCUGGGUUGACACUGACGCUCAUGCACGAAAGCGUGGGGAGCAAACA
rnacentral:rRNA from 1 species